rnacentral:rRNA from 1 species
GUGUCAGCCGCCGCGGUAAUACCAGCACCCCGAGUGGUCGGGAUGAUUAUUGGGCCUAAAGCAUCCGUAGCCGGUGUAACAAGUCCUCCGUUAAAUCCACCUGCUUAACAGGUGGGCUGCGGAGGAUACUGUUACACUAGGAGGCGGGAGAGGCGAGGGGUAUUCCACGGGUAGGGGUAAAAUCCUCUGAUCCGUGGAGGACCACCAGUGGCGAAGGCGCCUCGCCAGAACGCGCUCGACGGUGAGGGAUGAAAGCUGGGGGAGCAAACCGGAUUAGAUACCCGGGUAGUCCCAGCCGUAAACGAUGUAGGCUCGGUGAUGGACUGGCUCCGAGCCAGUCCAGUGCCGCAGGGAAGCCGUUAAGCCUACCGCCUGGGGAGUACGGCCGCAAGGCUGAAACUUAAAUGAAUUGGCGGGG